rnacentral:rRNA from 1 species
UACGAAGGGGGCUAGCGUUGUUCGGAUUUACUGGGCGUAAAGCGCACGUAGGCGGACUCUUAAGUCGGUGGUGAAAUCCUGGAGCUCAACUCCAGAACUGCCUUCGAUACUGAGAGUCUCGAGUCCGGGAGAGGUGAGUGGAACUGCGAGUGUAGAGGUGAAAUUCGUAGAUAUUCGGAAGAACACCAGUGGCGAAGGCGACUCACUGGACGACUGUUGACGCUGAGGUGCGAAAGCGGUGGGGAGCAAACAGG